GCGGGUUUAGCUCAGUUGGGAGAGCGUCAGACUGAAGCCAAACUUCAGGAAAAGUCAAUCUGAAGGUCGUGUGUUCGAUCCACACAAACCGCA